UAGUAUACAAAUCAACUAAUGAUAGAAUUUAGAAAUAAACUAAAUUUAGGAGGGUCAGAGUUGAAAUGAAUUGCCAAAAGUCUAUAGCAACUUAAUGGCAAACCUGGAAAUUAACCCUAUCAGUUUUAAAUGAAUGAAUGAAUGGUACCCAAGUUCGAUGGGGUUUACAGCAAUCUAUCAGCACUAUGGUAACCAAAAUAAAUCCAUCUGAGGAUCUAUAAAUAUCAUUGAAAAGAGCCUCAGUUCUUCUUCCACAAAAAAGGGAAUCGGUCCUUUCUGCUUGACAUCUGCACUCAACCAGUUUGUUUGCGCAGGUCCUGAAAAGAAGAAGAAAAAAACUUUCUGUCGUAACCAUAUUUGUUGGUCACUUUGGUUUAAUUGUUUGAUCCUGAGUUCAUUUUGGAGGUGCCCCUACAUACCAAACCGUGUGACUGUAUUCAUUACUACAUUUGGAAAUUUUCUAUUUGGCUGAGAUGUUUUGGGCCAUCUUAAUAGCAAAUGUGGUCAUAUCUCAACUAAAAUGGGAAAAACGUUAUCCCACUGGGAUAGUACCAAUUUUAAAAUAUUAGUAAAUUCAAUAAAACGUCUUAAGAUGUCAUGUAUGGUAACAGACAAAACAAAUGUUUUUUCUGAAUUGAAGUGAAAGCAG
rnacentral:lncRNA from 1 species